CCUCUCUGGCCAAGUAUCAAAUAGACUUGAACUAUUCAGAGUUGAUUUUAUUGUUCUGAGUCAAUCUCAAGUUUGAAGUUGUUCUUUCUGUUAAGAGAAAACAAUGUCUGCAUUAUAAAAAAGUUAUAAAUUCCUAAAUGACUGGGUAAAUGAAAUGUAGAAUGCAAGAGUCAAUGGCAAUAAAUUUGUUUUUUUUCCUCAUUGACUGUGCUUCAUAUUGUUCAAAAUGGACACAUUCGCGCUGAUAAAGCGUUAUUCCGUGGUGAUGCACCUUAAUGAUUGCAUCUCUGUGUUAGAAGCACAGAGACCAAUAAUGAAGGCAAUAGAGAUGAUUUAGCGUCUUUCAUGGGCAUGAGCUCUGUGCUUGCCUCUGAAUAGUAGGAGGAUGGAGAUUAAUGAUGGAUGUUCCUGCCAUUUCAGCUUCUGCCGUGCUCACUUGUCACACCGCCCCUGUGUCAGGAAGGAAACUAAGAAUGGACGCACUGGAGCUGAUUGAAACAUCUUGCAUGGUCACGAGCUCUCUGGUUUCAUCUGUGCUGUAGGAGUAUGAAGACCAUAAUGGAAACACUUGAGCUGAUUUAAGCAGUGUACCGUGAUGGUGACCUCUGUGAUUGCAUCUCUGUGUUAGGAGAACAGACACCUAACACAGACACCUAAUAAUCGUUGCAAUGGGCUGACUUAAGUGUUCCGCCGACGUCACGAAUCCUGUGCUUUCAUCUAUGUGUUAAGAGCUUGGAGAGCAAAAACAGAUGCUGGAGAUGACUUCAGCUCCUGUUGUCAUCAAGAUCGUCUGCUGCUUCCUUGUGUGGAAAGAGACCAAGGUGAGUAAUGGUCCACACUGUUGUCUUGGAUUGGGUCAUGUGUUUAAGGGUAUUUACAAUAUUAUUAAAAAGUAUUAAAUUCAUUAAAAUAUUCCUAAUGAUAAAUAGGAUAUGAAACAUUAUGUUGAUUAAUCAAUAAUGUGCAGGAUUGAGGUCUAUUAAUGAAAAAGGUAUAGUCUGUGUGGAAAAUGAUUCUGUAAACCAGUGUUAGGAAUCUUGUCCUAGAGUUUUUAUGAACCAUGUAUUAUUUUUAUUCUUAUCAAUGAAUUCAUAAUU